rnacentral:tRNA from 1 species
UCCAACGUAGCUCAGUGGUAGAGCAAUCGGCUGUUAACCGAUAGGUCGCAGGUUCGAAUCCUGCCGUUGGAG